AGCUUGGACGUGUCGAGGUUGCUAAUAUACUCAUGUGAAAAUGCUAUUUUCCCCAAAGUGAACACAAUUAAAAAAAAAAAAAAAAGUAGCAAUUUUGCAUCAGUAGAUUUCUUGUAACAGAGAAGAUCCUAAACCCUUAAGAAGAAAAUCGUGCACAGCUAAGGAUGACACUAUCAAAGAACUAACGAUGCGUCAUAUUUGCUGCACAACUUACCCUGAAAGGAUCACCCCGUAAGGACUGCACAAAUAUUGAAUUUCCUGACUCUGUAUCCUGCAAAAGAGCAGUGGUGAGCAUAAGUAGAAGCUUUGCAAAUGAAAAUACAAAUGUCAUCCAAAAGUUUACCUCCAAAUGGACAUCCCUCAGUCGCUUUCCAGUUUGAGCGCAGCAAAUGCGAACUAUAUUCUCAUCACAACUCCCGCUGAUAAUAUAGUCCCUUCCAUUCAUGUAAUAUGAACGAGUAUAAUUAUGAGAACUUCCUGUGGCAGCUAUUUCAAAAUUCAUGUGAACCCUCCCAUCUGCCGCCAAAAGUUGCUUAACCUGGAAAGUGACAACCCCAUAAAAGUUAGCCUCUGGACUUCAAAUUCGACAAAACACCACAAUUCAGUAGGAUAAGUGGAAAACGAAAGCCUGAGUUGCAAUUUUGACCAUGGGAUAGCAAAUGACUUCCUACCUCAGAAUUUGUACGGGUAAAAGUUUGACCAAGUAGGAUUGUAUUUAUUUUUUUCUACAAAAACAGAUUGAAGUGCAUUUUAUUGGUAUGGUUAUACCUCAUUGUCAACAGCUGAAACAAGCAAAUAAAGGUCGUCGGGAGAAAAGCAAACCAUCACGUUUCCUCUUGAGCUUGAAGCUGUAUAGCAAGGCCGCAUUGGAUUCUGUCUCAAAUCCCACAUCUUCACAUCAUGGUCAAAUGAUGAAGUAGCAAACACAUAAGGGGAAUGGUGGGAAAAUUUGGAAACAUUGAUUGGUUCUUGGUGAAUAUUAGUGAACAACUGUAAACGCUUUCCACUUGCUAGGUCAUAUAGAGCAAGACCUUUAGAGUAACUACUAGCAAGAAGCUGGUCAUCAGUUGAAUUUACAUGAAGAGAAGUCAACUGCUCGAAAUCGUCAAAAGUUGCAGCACUGGAGCUGCAGAAGGAGCCUGAAACUUCUCGUGACAUGUAAUUGAUGUCAAACAACUUCAAGGAACCAUUAUCUGAACCAGCAACAAGCUACUUGUUCAACACAAAAGGGAUAAAAAGGGUAAGAAAAUGCUACAUUCACUAGGGGAGUAGAACCGCUUUUGCAUUUAGUACAUGUGCAUUUGUAUGUUAAUUAAUCCAUUAAAGAAAUCAUAUACCUUUGAUGGAUUUUUGUUGAGCCAACAAAGCCCCAAGACACUGCUCAUUGCUCUUCCUACGGAUGGGAUAUAACCAACUAUUUUCUCGUUUUCAUGGUUGAGAACAACUACUUCACCAUCCAGGCUUCCGAAAACCAUAAGACUGGGGUUUGAUGGAUGAUACUCAAACUGCCUUGGACGAAGCUUCUUGUUUUCGGUUUUAAAUGAGUGGCUAAACUUAGACAGCGGAUGUAAGAGUGGCCACAUUGAAGACCCGAUUUUGGCAGCGCAAAGGGACCUCAAGAAAAAAUUCUGGCCAUUUCUAUAAGGAUGCAGCUGUUUUGGCUUGAAUGGUCUUUGGUAGUGUAUAACAUUUGUUCCCAUUUCACGCUUAUGCAAAACACUAACAACACUUUCUUUGUGAUGUCUCUUGUAAGGUAAGUAUUCAUAGUAUUUUUCUGCAGUUGUCAUGGCCAAUUCCCUUUCGGUCUUUCCGAUAGGAAGAUUAUCCAAAACUUCCAAACCAGGGAGCAUUGAAAUCAUGUACUCCCGGUAAUAUUUCUCAAAGCAUAUGGGCGAGCGACAAUGAGUUAUAUACUUUAAUGUGAUAGCGGGAUUCUUCAGGUCUAGCUUACACACACUUACAAGGAACUCAUCUUUUUCUUGAACCUGCAAUUCGACAAAAGACCUAUUAAAAUAAACUAAUAAAUCCAUCACCAACACAGAAAUUUCAUACUUUUGAAUAAUUAAGUGCAUCAGUUGUAAUCAUGCUGUGUUCUUACCUCACUCUGUAAGUUGUGUUGUCCUUGUAAAUUAGAACAUGCCCCAGUGUCCUUGCAGCACAAACAACUUUGGAACCGUAAUUCCACCAAAGACGGAAGUUUUGAUAGAGCACCAGUUGUUGCCAUGAGAUUAGCAAUUGUUGUCUCGCACAUUGAGAGACGCAUCAAAUUAGGCAUGCCAGAAAAACAGUCCUUCUGCAAACUAGCAAGUGAAGUACAAAAGUCCAGACGGAGCGUAUGCAGCUGCAAAAAGCUUCCAACCAUGUUGAGUUUCUGGAUAUUAAUAGACCUCAAGUUGAAGACUUGGCAAGCCAAGCAACCUUGUAAGAGAUCCCUGGGGAGAAUUCAAAUCAAUGGAACAAGUCAGAAACUUUCACACGUAAAUUAUUUCACAGAUACGCAAUGAUUGGUUACAAAAGUUAAGUUACUUCCUAAAUCAACAUUCUUGACCAAGAUAUGCUUUCAAAAUUCACCAAAAAAGGAAACAUAAGUGAACUUUCCAUUUUUAUACUUCACAAUAAUGAAUGUGAAAAAUAGCCAAAAAAUAAAUUGUUCUCAAGAAUGUGCAUUGGAAUUGCUUACAGACCACAGAAAAUCAUUCCCCAAUGCCAAAUCCUGGAGAUCGAUGACUCGAAGCUUUAGAUUGACUGCAUUUAUCAAGGUCUUAACAUUUUCUUUGCCCAAGUCACUAUUGGAUUCCAGAAAUAUGUCAACGGCAUCAAUGUCAGCCGAGUCACUUGACAUAAGUAGGUUGGUUAGAGGCAAAAUAUCGGCAUCCCUUAGCUGGUCUAACGAAAUCACUAUGCUACACUUUUCGUUGUUCGAACUCUGAAUUUUGGCCUGAAAAAUAUCAUAAGAAUCAUUGAUAUUAAUAUCUCGAAAAAGAAAUUUGUUUUUACACUCAAUUUCAUAUGAUCAAAAGCAUAACAGGUCAAAGUGAGAGCACAUUCAAAAUUUCAGAAGACCUGAGAAAACCAUGAUAGAAUUGCUGAAUUGGGUUGCACCUCGUGUUUUUGGCAAGAGUCAAGGUACCUAGUGAGACCGUAGAACAAAGGGAGUUAAAUAAAAAUGUUUAUUAAACUAAUAAAAUCCGUACUAAAUAAAUACAUUACUAACAAAAAACAUGCAUCAAGCCACUAAACCAAUGAAAGCUUCCACGUAAACCAGUUUCGUGUAAGCUAAUUGAGGGCCCGUUUGGUAACCAUUUUGUUCAUUCCUCCCUCCUCCCUCUCAGGCCCCCAGUACCCUUCAUCCACCUUUCUCUUUCCCCGGGUUCCCCCAUAACUAUCCAAGACAAAAUAAAAGACUUAGAAACUAAAAACGAAACAGUUAUCAAACGAACCCUAAAACAACCGUAUUUCCAUAUCUUUUGCAUUAAGAUAACACUGAAUGAUUCAAUUUGGUUGAAGGCAAUGCAACCUAGCUAUACCAGCGGAAAAAUAAAAAGAGAAAAUCUUUGUUCUAAAUUCGUAAAAAUAAGCAUCUGGGUAUCAACCAAAAAAGCCUCACUCUCUCUGUAAACACAGAAACACAGAUAUCUGAGGGUCUGCCAAUUAUAAUUGGUAAAGAAAAAAAAAAACAGGGUUUUUAUCUCAGCAUGCAGUUGGUCUUUCCUACUGCUAACAGAAUAAAAAAAUGCAAAAAAGCAGUAGCAGAAGGGAUACCGAGCUUUUAAGCUGGAAACAUUCAUGGCUCCUUUCUUCUUCUUCUACUUCUUCUGGUUUUUCUGAGCGAAAUGCAAUGGUGAGAAGUGAAGUGCGAAUGAAGAAAUUAAAGGGAAACUUCAACCGAAGUACAAAAAGUAUGGUGGGUUGAGUAAGUGUGAAACAUGUGCCAAGGGGGACUGUGUACGGAAUAAUUGAGGUUGGCCCUUCAGAAUUCAGAACCACAUGUCGCGUUAAUGAAACGAGAUAAGCACAAGUGUUCACGUCAAUUCCUAUCUGUCCAAUACAAGAUGGUCCAAUAUUAAAAAGUACAUAUGUCGUGGUCGUGGCAAAGUAAUCUUCACCUUUACUUAUAGGGUAAAAUUUAUAUUUUACCAUCUUAAGUUUCAAAUUUAUUGUAACCUCAUACAAUAUCUUCAAAAUAUUUCACUUUCAUACCUUAAAUACUAUUUUAUUUCAAUAUAAUACAUUCGUUACAUUUUUCAUUCAUUGAUUCGUUAAGAUUUGACGUGGCUGACAUAUUAUGCGCCACGUGGCUGCCAAAUUUGUGUCACGUGACAAAUUUUUUUUUAUACAUUAAAAAUAUUAUAAGAAUUAUAAAAAUUGAAAACCCAUAAACCCAGUCCCCCCCCCCCUCCGUGACCACCUCUCUCUCCUCCACUCUCUUCACCUUCCCUCCCAUCCAAAAACCCACCCCACCCAACCUCCCCCGCAACCCCCCACCCCCAAAAACCCAUUUCCCAUAAACCCCUUUGCUCAGUCACCUUUUCCCCCUCAUCUCUCUCUCAUCCCAAGUGUUUCACUCUACUCUGCCAACCAACUAAAACCCUAAAUCAAUAGCAGAACAUAAAUGCUCUCUUAAUCAAACCACACAAACACUCAUAGAGAGGGAAAUGCAAGACAUUUUUGGAUUAGUUCACCGAUCAUUGGUGUUCCGCAUAACAUGAGACAAUGAAGAUUCCCUAGGAGGAACCCUAAUCAAUAAGAUCAAUUCCUGCAUUCGGAAAUCUAGAGUCUUCUCCAAGCCCUUGCCGCCGCUUCCAUUGCCGGCAAUGGCAAAGGAAAAUGCACCUCCGAUCUAGUGAUGGAAGGGUGAGUUGAUCGGCUGCGGUGGGAAAUGGGUUUGUUGGGAGAAAUGAAUGAGCGAAGGCGUUGCAAGGGAGGUAGGGGUGGGGUGGGAUGGGGUGGGUUUUUGGAUGGGAGGGGAGGUGAAUAGAGUGGAGGAGAGGGAGGUGGUCGGGGGAGAGGGGAAUGGGUUUUUGGGUUUUCAGUUUUUAUUUUUUAUUUUUUAAUAGGUUAAAUUCUUGUAAUAUUUUUAAUGUAUAAAAAAUUAUUUUUUUGAAAUAAAUAGUACUUAAGGGAAAUGAUAAGUUUUGAAGAAUGUUGUAUGAGAUAGACCUCAAACUUGAGGUGGUAAAGUGUAAUUUACCCUUACUUAUAUGAUUUGAAGAUUGGUUAAUCCAUAGCGAGCAUUUUCUUCUUUAACUUAGCUCAUGUUUUUUUUCUAACCUAAGCAUUUUGUAUUUUGUAUUGGAUUUGUUUCACCCAUACUGUCCUUUCUCAUGUGAAGGACGGCCUGAUUCAACUAACAUACCUGUCCAUUUUCGCGCGCCCGCGAGCCCCCACCGACAUCGCUCGGUCGCUGCACAGAUACUUAACUCCCUUUGGACGCUACGUCGAACGAAUCCGACUCCCAUGUCACCCUCAGUGGGUUUUGCUGUUUCUGCGAUCGAACCCUCACAUCCGGAGAAACUUACCUCAGUGUGGUUCACUCCCCAUCUCUUUAGGAUUGUGCUCUUCGGCCUCCCUGUAGACACCGGCAGAACCUUGCUUUAACUUCGCGAGAGGUUCCCCGGCGCAUCGAUACAUACUUCUUGAGAGCGUCUCAUUUGAGCUCCCCAUCUAGGCACUCGUUUCGCUAUGUAGACCGUUGAGAAUCUUAUCAUAUAAUAGCGUAUGAUAUAGGAAUAUUGCCACCCACUUCCUCUAUCGGCUGACCGCCGCUUGUGGCUCUACAAUCCACCCCCCUCAGUGGGCCCGACAGUCCUCAGUGCUGGCCACUUCCUGGCCCAGUGUAGCUCGUCGAUACACAAUCACUUUGUCACACAUCCGCUCCGUACCCCCGUGAGCCACCCUAAAUUCACGAUCCCCCCUGGCUCUCAACAUUCAUGUCCGUUAGACGCAUUUAUUGGUCUGCUUUGGGAGCCCCGACCCACGCUCCUUACAGAUGUUUUAUUUUCAGGAAUACUUCACACAUGAGAAAAUCACUUCUCAGUGAGUGUCAUCCCAUCCUGGCGGUAUUCACUCUUCUCACGAACAAUCGUUAACCUUCUGAUUUUUUGUGUAUGAAACUGUUGAAGCCGAGUGACCACAAAUACGGAGCCUUGUCUGCUACUGGUACUGAGAUGGGGAACCUAUAACCUAAUGAAUGAGCGAGCGCUUACAGGAUUCCGACACCCCCCUAGGCGAGUGUGGGAGUAUGCAGUAUUCAGUCUGUACAUAUGAAUAUUGUGACUCGCUACUCUACGGUUAAAUGCACUGCUAACGUUACACAUUGCAAUACAAUAAAUCCCUCGUAAUCGACUAUGACCAAUAAUCACCUCUCUAAUCAAAUAUCUGUUCCUUGCCUUAAAUCUUUUCCCCUUCUCAAGCAUUCUCGUGGAUAUCCUCAACAACGCCAUACUUUGGAACGAUGCGAUCAGCAGAUCGGAAAAGACAGAGUGCACCAUAUGUUCUUUUGUGAUAAUAUCUUAUAAGUAAAUACGCUGCGCAGAAACUAUAGCUACCCAAGUAGUUAAACAACAUUGAUUAAUCGGCAACCUGAAGUCGAAGGUAUCCGGGUUGAUUAGAGUCUUUUGUGCAAACAAUGGAGAGUUAUUAUCGUGCGCACAAGCAUCUUGGACACCAAUUAUGGUUUCAAGUCUGGGCGAUUCUUCAGAAGUUUUCCAUUCUUGGAUUAUGUUGAUGAUCGUCGUCCUAUUCUCCCAGUUUCUCUUUUCCUGUGUGUCAACCUUAUCUCUUAUAGGUUUCCUUCCCUUCUCAUCUACUUCAAUCCGUAAUCGACACACCCUCGUCUACUAGCCGAAGUACCCGAUGAGUCUCACUAGAAUCCAGCCAGCUUGGACGACUAUGUUACCAGGUCUCACCUCGCCUGCCUCAACAUUACCCUACUUCUCAGAUGACGACUACACCAAGUGAGCACUGAAGUAUCGCUGCAACUCGCACCUAGUUUCGCCGUCCCUCCGCCUCUCUAGUCCUCGCACUGCUCGAGUUCGCAUGAUCGUUUUGAGGCCAGGCAAUGUGUUGCAAAUGGAAAACUAUGUCCAUCACGAGUGUCAAGGUAUCACUCCACUAAUAGAUGCCAUCUUUCCGCAUAGAUGUGUUUUCUGGGUCAUCGACUGUUACUUCAUUCCGCGCAGGAUAUCUGUUAUAUUCAUACUUUUCUUGCAAACUCCUUAAGUCAGGUCUUGGCCCUUGGACCUCAUAAUCACGAACGUCUAGUAGAGCGGAAUCUUGUGGGUGCGCCUUGCUCCUUCCAUCAUCGACCCCUUGAUUUUUUCUUAACCAUAUCUAGCCGUGAGUACAGUCUAGAUGGACGACCCUAGCGUCCGCAAUGAACGAUUUUUUUUGUAUACUCUUGGCAAAACGUCUUUCCGUGUUGUUUGCCCUAAAAGAUCUAGCGCAGCUUAUAAUGCAUUCACUAGCUCCCGCACUCAGUUGUGUGCCGCCAUGCCACGCUUAAGAUUUCGAUAGCUCUCACAGCUUCCUUCGCUGCUCAAGCUAUAGACAUCAUCGUGUGUCAUUGUCAAGAUCAUUGAAUGCCGCCUCUCUACUUCGUAUCACAUACACAAUCGCGUCCACUGUAGUGAGCUGUCUCCAGAGACAAGGCUGAUUCUCAAUUUUCUGCCGGAUUGUGAAAGGAUGGGACAUACUUGAUUUGUCACAAAUACAUUUAGUCAUGACAGUGUGGCAUAAUGUGAUUGUAGAGCUUUUACUCGACUCGAUCAUGGACUUGCCCAAGUUUAGAAUUGGUCGCAGCUGUGUGAUCACCUAGAAGAUGCAUGAUCGACCAUGGCUAAAGAUGCGAGGUAUGAGAUUUCUCGGUUAUAUAGUCGUCAUGUAAAAUGAUUUUUAGAAGAUGGCAUCUUGGAAGUUAACACUCCACGACACGUCUUUCUGGUUGCUGAUCACCUAACAAAGAAUUGAGUUUUUCAUCCUUUGAGUAUCUAGUCAGUUUCGAGAAAAGUUUGGUAGAACAUUAUGUUGCUACCUCUAUUCCGAUGAUAUAUACUAGUUUUGGCUGCAUGAUUCUUCCUGACACCUGCUAUGAUACAAGUUUUUUUCCCGGUCCACAAAGUAUUGCGUGCAUUACCGGCGUGGUCUAGAGAUCCUACCCACAUGUUAGCUCUGCUAGCUUUGUAACAGGCUCUUAUUCGCUACUCAUUGGACUAGGAGUUAGAUCCUUUGUUUUGUAUUUUCUAUUUUUAUCUAUUGUUAUUUCUAUUUUAAAUUGUGGUGAAAAACAUAUAUUGGCAUUUGAUAGUGGGAACUAUUGAAAGGAAUCCGAGGUGUGUAGAACAAAGCUGCUGUAUUCCACGUUAGAGCACUCUUGGAUCUCCUACUUCAAAAAUUGUCCCAAAGCAUGCAUCUUACAUUCCGUUCAUUAUGAUCGCUCUGCAUCUACAUUGCUGUGCGUACGGCUCUCCAUUCUGGCAGUUGUUGCUGUAUUCCAGGAUAAACAUAAGAACUUUCCUACAGCUUACUACGUAAAAGUAGGAACAUUUUUUGCCAGAUAUACCUCAAUGUUGAUCAUUUUCUGUGAAUCUGAGAUCGCACGACACAAAGAAUAUUACGGAGGAUCUCCACAGGUUGACGAAUCACAUCUUUUUUCUUUGCAUAAUUACCGAUGUUCAUCAGAUUGUUACACCUCCAUCCCCAUUGUUCUCUUGCCAAUACCUAUUCAUUCUUUUAGAAGCAUACUCUUGCUUUAAAUCCUAGCAAAAUACUGAGUAGGUUUUCCCCUUCAUUUUUUAGUCCAAGAACGAGACAUCUUAACUUUUAUAACAACAUUACAUUGCGACUUGAGUCAUACAAAAGAUGUCUUCUCCAUUGUUCGGUUUCGCUACAUUCUUGAGCUUGGUGAUUAGCCGCAUAUGCAUCCAUUGAAGUAGUAGAAUUCAGUUGCUUCCGUUGUGGCGAAAAUCGCCUACCAAACAAGUUUAUCUACGGUACACAGGAGUAUAUGGUAUCUUAGGACAAAGCCCUGUUCAAAACUCUGGUUGUAGACACCGAACGCAAUUUACCCUAUGAUUUUUUCUCUUCCGUUUCGCCCGACAGGCCGUAUCGUUAACUAACCCAAUCUGGGACAAUCGGCGUGGACUUCGAUUAAUUGAAAGCUAGCGUCUCUCGAGAAAUUGGUUAAAUUUCCCUACCCUCUCAAUGAUCCUUACAUUUCAGGCUUCGUCCAUUAUCUCUAUACCGUUACAGUAUGUUGGGCUAUAAAUACCUGUUUUACGAUUAGCGUGAACCGCUCGGGAUUGGAGACGGCUGGAACACAUACGGGUGAACCAUUUCUAUCCUCCUUAUAAGCGGGAGCCAUGGCGACUUAGACUUUAUCCUCCUAACGGACUUAGACAUCCAGUAAUAACGCUCAUUUUUCUUGAUAUAUUCUUGACAAACUUAAUGUCUCCCUAAUUCUUUGGCCAUUAGCAAUUUAUGUGUUUGCUUAGGAAUGCGAGACUUUAUCGACUAGACACGUAUUCGCUCUUUCUUCGUCCACUCGCUUGAAUUCAAGAUGUUGAUGCUCGUCUUUGGGAGCGUGCUAAGGUCUAUGUCACAAUACCUCUUGAUACUUUUUCUCUAGCGCUCCUAGACCUGUAGUUGUUGAUAGCAGUAUAUGCAGAAGUGACUAUGCCGACACUCCUCACUCAUGCCUUUUGCGCCAAUACAUUAUUUCACUGGCGUAUCUUCUAUCGACGCAUGGCGUGAACCUGUACCUUUACUGAUGGACCGCGCCUCAUCAUCUUAGAGCGUGUGCUCUCCGGCAUAAGAUGGGACGUUGUUGCAAUUAGACUAAAUCUCUCAUAACAUGGGACAGAGUACCAUCCAAGGAGUAGUUGUGUUCAUCUUUCUAUCACCCCAGAGGCGCGGCUGGUUUUGCAUGAACCACAAAUUUCACAAUUUUAAGUGACUGGACCAGAGAACCAUUGAAAAUAGGACAUUAGCAAAGUACGUACUACUUUGAUGGUUAUUAAGUCCCUAGAAGUGUGUGAUCAUCUUCUGUUUUUAUUUGUGCAAGAUUGUCGUACUUUUAAAUCUGGAUCCAGUGCACGCCAUCCAACUUAUAGAUCUUACCGAAUGACAUUCCGGAAAAUUAUGAUCUUGUGAGCGCAUCAACUUCUAUCGUGGGGAGAAUACACUGUCCUGUCGAAAUUCGUACCAUGAUCGGAGAAUGUAUUUACUGUGGUAUGUUAGGAGUUGACGGGCAAUAGCUUGUUACACAUUAUAAAGUUACCCAUUCUUGGCGCUUUCCUGCAUGGCUCGCCUUCCUACUGUUUCUCUCAGUAAUUACCUCAGCGCUUGCUAUUAGCUCCCCGCGUCUCAGUGUGGCAUACGCUUGACUGUUUUGAACGAUACGUGAUUAUUUGUCAUGCGUACAUCGCAUUUUCGGCGACCCAUCGUUUAUUCGUUUACUUUCUCUUUUUAUCUCUUCUUGUGACGCGAUUUGCUUGGGAGUUCAGAUAGCUGGUGCUUCAGCAUUGGGGUUUAUUAAAGAAUCAACAUAUUCUCAUGUCUGGGCGGUCCCGCUGACACCGAAGCUCACAGUGCCCUACCAAAACCAACGAGCGACAAACAUCUUCACACCGUCUCUUCACAGCUAUCUCUGUGUGAGGCGUGUUUCAAUACUUAGCGACAUAGCUCCACAGUACAAAUAGAGCCUUCGUGCACUCAUGGAACCUUAUUCUCGCCUUAAGCCCUCAUCCCUUUGUCACAAGCUACGCAGCCCCACCUAAACAUUUAUAUUUCACUUGACUCAAGUUCUACUCAACUUACAUAGUGCAUUUAACAUAAAUGCCACUUACUCAUAGAAAUUGUAAAAUAAUUCAAUCCCAAUGCAAAUCAAAAUUCACAUCCACAAAACCAAAAAUGUCACAUAUUGUAAUGUACGAUCAUUUACUACUGAUAGCUCAUAUGUCUAACUUAGAGCUAUGUCACAGCGCUGUGAUCGCCGCGGUAUGUAGUCUCUAUAUCGGUCAGCUAGCGCUGAACCACCAUUGAUGACACCACUACUCUCGGACGCUGAUUUAUCUCAUUCGAUUGUCUUGGCGCCUUUCACAACAGUAACCACAAACUCAAUCAACUUAAAUCAACCCACGCUCACUAGAGUUCUAUUUUCUUUUUUAUUUUUCUCAAUGGGACCCUGCAUCACGUCUCUAACGGUAGUGUACAGUACUGGCCUUACGGCUACGCUCUAGAAAGGACAAGCACACUUCGAUACGUUCUCCCCACUAACAAUAGCCUCAUCGCUCCUAAAUUCACUUAUGUGUCCUGGAUUAAACUUCCAUCUAUAUCCAUAAAGCAAGUCCCCACCACUCCACACCGAAGUAGGAACUAGUCCAGUAACAAAAGCAAUAAUCAUCAUUACCAUCCAAGUGCAUCCAUAUUAACACUGCACUCAACAUGAACUUCUAAGUAGAACACCCCCAACAAGAAGCGUAAUCAGACCUAAUGAGCAUACACAUCACAACUAAUAUAAUUCCUGCAGAUUCCACCAAAGUUCUGUACGUACUAACUCUAACUACUCCGUGUAAAUUAUAAUCUGCUUGAGUCAUUUCCCUCAACGCCUAACCAGAAGUCCUAAGUGCCAUAUGCUGCUCUUAGUUACUACAACCUACUCCCACGGAAUCCUCAUCACACUACAGCUGAGCCAAUGUCCCAUUUUACACACAAUAACAGAAUCAUACCUAAAAUACAUGACUCUGCAACGUUUCCACUAUCUCAGUUCAUGACAAGAAUCAACUUGAUACAUAUAUACACAGCCCAAUCUCAAAUUGUUCUACAUAUAGGUUGCAUUGCUAUAUAACUUCAUUCCACGUGCCAAUACCCGUAUUUGUAAUGGAUAACGACUAUAUUAUGGACCAUACAGGGAUUGCAUGUGUUGGUCUCAAUAGGUGUCUCUAUGAUAUGCCACCAAUCUACAUUAUACGUCCAUAUUGACGCUUCGUUAACUAUAAUCUGCUAUAAGAUAAAUCAUGUGUCUUUUGAAAACCCUCUAAUACCAUAACCCAUGAUAGAAUCUAGCCGGGUGUGCUCUAGCUCUACCAAACUCACAUACCGAGGAGCGAUAACGCUAAACAAUUAGAUAUCUUACUAUAUACAUUGAGCAGCAUUUGAUUGGUGGAAUUAUUGCAACAACACAGCACUUUUCGUCCGACUACUAGAGUACAGAAAAAGCGGAGUUAUAUCGUCUAUCAAUACCACCAGGAAGUUAAACCUCAAUUAGUUUGUAUACACCCACCUUACUAUCUCGCGGGUUCGAUUGGCACAUAAACUUUACAUGGGGUUUCUUCGUACAGCCGUGUUUGCCUGUUACUGUAUAAAAUGCAAAAAAGAUUGUGAAGUAUAAGCAGGUGGUUCUAAGCUUGACGCAGUGUACACAGGUCUACAGACUCCCUAACGAGGUCUUUCAAAAACGUGCGCUACCACAUCCCCUAUUACAUCUAUGUCUGCCUGGUCUAUCUGUGCACGUUUCACGUCGGGACUCCAAGCGUUAUUGACUUUACUGAUUCUCUGACAUAUCAAGAUAUCAUCAUAAUCGUGACAUUUACGGUGCAACCUAGAAUGGGGUAUUCGUUACAUCACGAACAUGUCUAGUUUAAAACCACGUACUAUACGCAUCAUAAAGGAAUUCAUCCCAAAGUGACCAUAGAACUCCAAGAGCCGCAAAGUACCGCCUUGACUUUGCAAACGUAUCUAAGUUUCUUCAUGCAGCUUAGAGCUCAUACUUCUCUAUGAUUCAAAUCUACACUCCUACAAUGUUUCCACCACAAUAGUUUCAGAGCGGAAUUUUCUAUGGUGUAUAACUUCGAAUUUUGCACAUAAUAUAUCAACAAAUUAACCACAGAAUUAAACCUUUUAAUCCAAAUUUCUGGUCCUACUACGUUUUGAUCUCAUAAACCCUCAAAGUAUCAAAAGUCAUAAAAUAUCUCAUAUAGUAAAGAUUGAUAAGGAAAAGCAAACCACAUCGGAAGGGAAUAUGAAAGAACAACUUCAUGGUCGUAUACUUGCUCUACACCUUAAUGAUGCACCCAUCGCUUGAUCAAAAACAAUGACAUAUUAGCAUCUGUUCUAUGAUUCAGAGACAUACAUGCCUUGACACCUUCCUCUCAGUUCCCUAUAGUUAUCAACAUCCUUUUAAAUUCCGACUUAUCUCUUUCUUGUUACAUUUCUCCUGGCCAUCAGUUCUUCUCUAUUUAUUUCCCUUUCCGCAAUUCUCUCAACGAUCACCACGAUAUAGUUGUAUUUUGAUUCCCUCGCUCUCCGUGUGUGUGUCCCGCGUUCAUGUUCCCCCCGUUUUUCCUCGUCCUUAGCACACCACUCCUAGAAGCCCUUUUUCCCCCCCUUUGACUUAUACUUUAUAGUUAAACAUUUAUAAAUUAUAUGAGUUUAUACACAUAUAUUAAUAUUGUGAAGGAAUUGAUACAAUGAACUUACCGCUUAACCAUUUUGCGUUUUGUAAAAUCCUCAAUUAAUGGCUGCUACAUUAUUCACUCGCCCACUUGCGCUCGUCUUUCACGCCAAUAAGUACACUCAUGAUACAUGUGAUUAAGACCAAUUAUCAUUGUGACGAAGACAUACUGAGUUUCAAUUUUCAACAAAAGUUCAACACUUUCUUCUCUAGGAGAGUACUUUCUUAUGGAACAUAAUUUCACGAUCUUGCACGAGAGACUCGUUAAAGAAUAAUUAAGUAACCUUAUAGACCAAUGGCUGUAACAAUACACCUAUGCCAAUGUACUUAUAGUACAUUCAAAGUAGUUGCAUAAAUUGAUUGACCGCCAAAAUGACACUUCUAGCGUCGUGACACGCCUUAAGGCCCUUUGCCUCUUCAUCUCACGACUUUUGUCUUAGGACAUGUUUCAUCCCAAAAGUUUGAGAUUAAAAACUAGGUUAUUUAACAAAUUUACCCAUCAUGAGUACAAGCCAAUUUAACAAAAAAGCGGUUAUCAAAUGCUAGAAAAUGGCGAGGCAAAGACGUGUAGCACAAUGGACUUUGAUGCAACCUGCAGCUUUGAAGUACAUCCACAAGAACAAAUCCUUCUUGAAUUGUGCUCUUGAAUCUCACUUUCUUGGCCACUCUUAUAUUGGCGAAAUAAAUCUUAAAAAUUAUCUCUCGCAAGACAGGUAAAAAUGUCCAAUGAGACUCACCAUACAAUCUACUUUUGUGUCUGACGUUCGUUGCGUGUUUAUUGUGCCGACUUCCAAAAAUAGCGCGUGCAUUUACCAAUAUCUUGGUUUAUUUAAAAACUUUACAUAUCAUGAUAUUACAGUUGAUCUGCCGUGACGGAAAGCUGACACGCACGUGCCUAUCGCUACUCGCAAGAAACGACACGACAUUUGACGGAUCUGACGCAGCAUGAUCGUGUGUAUAAAGCUCAGUCAUGCAAUUCGCCAAGAAUUCCAUUAUUAAUUGACGUGCACGCGCCAUGUGAUCCAACGGAAAUAUUACGUCUUUAUAUCCCUGAAAUCCCCGGUAUGGGAACAAACAUUUGUGCUAACUAGACAGUUGUCCAGCUACCUCGGCAUCUUGCCCCAUGCCAUAUUCUCCUCCAAAGAAGUUGGCUCUCCCUCUAAGGCGUGCUGUGUGACGCUUCCUCCAGGUGUCCUAUCCAUCUCUACCUCUAACUUCCACCCCUCAGCUGGACCACUCCCUAGUUAACGCUCUGCUGACUGCUACUAUUCCACUCAGAGUCCGCCUUUCUGUGCUCUAAUCUCGCACCGCCCAUACCACCUGAACCAAGCUCUUCGACACUUUGGUAGAUAAAAAUAAUUGAGGCUAUCGCUCAUUUCAUUUAUACUCAGUAUAAUACUAAAAUAAUGUUUAUUUGUAAACUUUUCAGAUUUUAAAGAUUAUAAUCAGUAUCACUCAUCCCUGCGCCACGUGCCCGCUAUUUUUUUCUCCACUCUAUCCAAAAGCAACAACUUAUUCGGUGAGUGAUAUCUUCCUGAUAAAGACUUAGUGAUAAUCACGUUCUUCCGUUAAAGCCACCGCUUCAUCUGAUUCCACUUAUCCAAAAACGACAAUUCAUUAGGCGUUGACGGGGAGUUUCCGAUUAAGAUUUUCAAUCGGUUCCUCAGUUAUGAGCCACGUGUCAUAAUCUGCUUUCACAAUCUUCUAAGCGGAGUAGAUCUCUGGCCCUCUAUUCGAGAUUUUUUAAUGUAUAAAAUUAGACGGAACCUAACAUACCAUGUGGCCUAAUUUGAUCUAUAACAACUAUCAUCAUUUCUGCUCAUCACUUGUCGCAUUCAUAACUCUCCGCACCGAUCCAGUCUUACAACGACAUAUACUUAUCUACCUCACCUUAAUCUUUCUCAAGAUCUCUCUACUAUCAAUUAUUCUCUCAUGCAUGAUUCUCUGUGAAUAUUACCUUCUUGCUUACCGGCAAAAGUCUCGGAACCUUCGGAUCCAGGUAUUUUCGUACGCGUGUGUGUGUCUUAUCAAGUGUGUUUUUCUACUCGAAGGAUGAUGGCCACAGAUCCUCGCCGAAUCUCAGCGCCCAAGUACGGGACGACCAAAUGAAAGUUCUUUUCGACGCAAUUCCAUAGAUACCGGAAUGCGUUUGUUACAUCUCAAACAGGGCCCCAAACUGACGGAAUAUGCUCUAGUAAGAUGACUGAGCGAGAGCGUAGACAAAGCAUGACGGACUGACUCGAAACAGGAUGGCCAAAUCCACCACAAAAUUUCUCGUUACAGAGUCAUCACAUAGUUUGCCUGGCCUCCCGACGCAUCUAGGCAAGGCCCGCCCAUUCCUGCCAAAACCUGAUUAUGAAGCAGGGCACACGCAAAUAAGGAUACAGCAUUCUCUUGUGCGGGUCAACUCCGUAAUUUGUUUUGUCCGUUGACCAGUGUGCAUCAUGCUUCACAUGAUAGCGAUACUCUGUAGGCGUCUAUAUAUUUAGAAUGGCGCAAUCACAUUGUCGUUUUCUCAACCAGUACACUAUUCAGUUGGCUCGUCUCUCGUUUUGCUAAAUCCCGCAUGAUUGACUGUCUCUUUUAAGUGUAAAAGAAAAGCAAUUCGCCACUUUUGGUGCUUUGGUCCUCCUUGCCUUUUAGUCAAUAGAAACUUAAUACUGCCCUGUCGCGCUGAUGCUUGCCUUCAGUGUGGAAAGCAUAUCUGACAGGCCCACUAGUGAGCAUGAUUCAUCAAGAUACGCGAGUGGAAGAUGGACGGAAUACCUACAGCUAAAUCUCUCCUUUGGAAUCCCCACCUUGAUUUGACAGACGGCUUCUUCUCUUGCCUUGAGCGAAAUUCAACAACAAGUCCUAGAUCUCACAUCUCCGAGACUACCUGUCCAGCCUAAGUCUUACCGUACUCUCCCAUACAGCAGAUGGACGUUGUGGCAAAGGCGCUUCUCACAGGGUUAAAGGGCGGAUGCAACAAGUCAUUUUCCUUCGGGGAUGUUAUUGGUAGGCUCACGUCCGACUGUAAUUGUACAUUUGGGAGCAGAGAUAAAACAUACUGUCGGUUUUCCAAAGGUCGGACGAUACAAUGAGGUUAUAAGGUGCUCAUCACGCUCAUAUUAGGCGCACUUCGAAGAUCACCAUUAUCUGCAAGGAAGAUCGGCGCUCUGUAUUUUAUUGCCUGUGAAGGGAUUGUCCUGUGUCGAUAUUGGUGUAGCACGCAGGGAUACCACUUAUUGAUUCUCACAUCAUGGACCUUCUUGAGCCGUGCGCCUCUCCUGUCGUGAGCUCUUCCGGCCUCUACCAAGCGUAGAGCUCACACAUUUGACCUCAGAAGACCUUGUCCGUGCUCUAAUCCCCACCUCGCUUCUCAACGCCCGACCGAUGCUCCUGGAAGAGUGAAAUUCGACCACACAAAAGUGCGACGCUCAACUGCGGUCAAACACGGACUGGUCACACAAGGUACCGAGCCUAAGGCCAUUAACCUAAUCUCCUAACGAAUACUUGUCGGACAUUCUCUAUUCCAAGUGAGGUCGUCGCUGUCAAUCGGUUUGUCAACAACAAUCUAGGCGACUGCCACGUCUAUGAAGUGAAAAGUAAAAACACUUUGCAAGCUAUCAAGAAGGGUGCAUGAAGGAUGUGGAGCGUUGUUGUGGUAUCCUCCAAGCUCGAUGGGCGAUUGUCAGGGGUGCUGCCAGAAUGUUUGAUGUAAAGUCGCUUCGAUCCAUCAUGAUGACGUGCAUCAUUUUUCACAACAUGACUAUGAAAGAUGAGUACGAUUAUGGUGUCGUUGAUGAAUAUGAGCUAGACACGAUGAACAAUUCCAAAAUACAAAUAUAUUGUGCUCAUGAUGCCACCGAAGAACCCGUGCAACACGAGCCGUUAGAAAGGGAUGGAUGUUAUAAUGAAAUGCUCAUUCAACGAUAUACUGCAUUUCAAAGGCCAUAUAUAUGCACAAUGCUCGACAAAUUGAUAGAGACGGUGGGAAUUGAAACAAGCUCCACCAUAUAGUGGUUUGAGUUGUUUAUUUAUUUUAUUUUAGUGUUUUUUUUUAGUUUUCAGUGAGUUUUUAAUUAUUUGGUAUGUUUAUGUAAUUUUAUUUGGUGUGUUUAUGUCAUUUGAAUAAAGAUUGUCUUUGUGUAAAUAAAUUACCAAAUUAAAUAAAUUUACUCUCACUUUAAAUAAAGUACUAAAUUCAAUAAAUUGGAAACAACAUAAAGUACUCUAUAUUAAUUUAAUAAAUAAUAAAUUAUUGGAAAACAACCAUAAAAGUACUCUAUAAAUAAUCAUAACUUACAACCAAUAGUACUCUAUUGAUUGCUAGGAUGAUCUUGUCAUGCUAGGACUGAUAAUUGCUCAAAAGUGCAUGCCUAAUGUGCUUUGAUUAUACCCGUUACAUGUUUUUCUCUAGUAAUUUAUCAAAUUUGUGUUUUAUCAUGUAUAACUGGUCAAAUAGGUUUUAUAUCUAACUAGCAAAAGUUGCCCGCGCGAUGCUGCGGGUUUCAAAACUCCUUAUGCAUUCUACACCCAUUGAAACCUCAUAAUCAAUUAACAAUUUAAUAUAGGAUAGAGCACAUGGGUAACUAAUUAAUGCAUGAACAAUAGUAUAUGAAAUCUAUGAAUGAUAUGAAUAGGUGAAAGCUUAAAGAAUCAGAAGUUUGCAGAGCCACAAUACUUAUAGCUCUGCAACCUGUUAUACAAAAAUUGAUUAAGCAUGCGUGAAAUACUUCAUAAAAAUUUGAAACUUUAGCAUGCCUUGGACUAUACCACUCAACAACUAUGUUGCCAAAAACAAAAUGCCAUAUACUACCACAUAAAGUUAUUCAUACACAUGAAGAGCUUGUAACUUGGUUAGUUGAAAGCCCCAAAAGCUAUAGUCCCAAAUUUGAUUCCCUUGUAACUUGGUUAAUUAAAAGCCCCAAAAUCUAUAGUCCCAAAUUCAAUUCCCCUUGCCAAUAUCAUUUGUAUUAAAAGAAAAAGGUUGGUUCAUACAUAACAAUCAAUUAAUCAUUGUUCAUAAAAAAGGGGAACUCAUGUAUUAUGCAAUUGGAGGAGAGGAGUUUUGAACUUGGGUCAUCUUCCUGAAUUGUAACCAAAGAAUGAUUUCGUAUUAGUUAACGAAUCCAAGGCCGUAGUCCCCAUGAAUUGAAUACUAAAAUGACAUGGUCAUAAACCUAUCAACACCAAAAGUCAAAAUAUAAGAAAAACCCCAAACUCACAGUCCAACCAAUUGCUAUAACAGCUUUAAGCUUCUUGUUUAUAUGCAACAAAACUAAUUGUAAAAGAGAACUUCAGCUUUUUUCUUGCUAGACUUAUGUAAUAAUCCACAUACUCAUCCACAUUUGUGAACUUCCAAAUAAACUAUUAAAAAUAUAAUUCUCAACAAUUAUGUGAUAUAUUACUUUACGAUAUAUAAGAUUUUUCUCUAUAUGCAUUAUCAAAUGAUUCUGAUUUGUGUGCUCUGGUUCUAUGUUGAAAGUGUAUUCCACGCAUCAUGAAGUAUAUAUUCCACAUGUCAUGAAUCUAUUAUGUUGUUUGGAUUUGCUUGGCUUUCUUUCUAAGCAUGCAACAUGAUUAAAAUUCAAUCCAAAGGAAAAUACAUACAUCACGUUUUUUUAAAUGCAACAAUAGAUUACAUACAGCACACGUUUAAAAUUGAAAUAAAACCUGUUUGACAAAGUAAAGAAUAGAUUACAUACAACACAAAUUCAAUCCAAAGGCAAAAUACAUAUAACACAUUUCUUUAAACAAUGGAUUUUUUUUCAAUUCAAUAUUUGAGAAAAUAAACAUACUUACGGGGUUCUCGAACAAAAUCCUCAGACUUUUGGCUGCUACUUUGCAAAAAAAAAAAAAAGUAGGAAAAGUUGAUAAUUUCAUAUUGAAUUCACAAAUCGAAAAAAAAAAUUGCAGAGGGAGUGAAAAUUGAAAUCACUCCUAAGUAAAGGUCGAUGAGAGUAGAUUAGGGGUUAGAAAUUAAGGAUUACGGAAUCUCGCCGGAAACUAGAUUUUUUCAAAGAAAUUUUUCCAUAAACGUAUUACCUUUUGCAGGAAAAGUGGACAACAACUUACCUUUGAUUCACCUUAAACCAUAACGAAUUGAGGCAUGCAACGGGUGAUUUUUGUUCCUGAGACGAAAGUUACACGACUGGUUAUAACAGCAAGGUCUAAUUGCCAACGUUCAGGCCGUAAAACAGCUCGCUGGACUUCAGGUACCAACUAAUAAUCGAAAACGGCUAAGAAUUUUUAGAAAUAGAUUUUAGGGCUAGAUUGAAUGUGAGAAAGGGUUUGUUUUUAGUUGGUUUGUUGGUUUGUAGUCGUCGGAAAUGACGAACUCGUCGCUGACCACAGUGGUGAGUCGUGGAGUAAACAGUUGGAGGGAAGGGCGAGAAGGGAGAAACAAAAAAGGAUAAACAAGUGUGCAUAUAUUCUCAGACAAUGGCAGGAGAGCAAUAACAAUAAUUAAACAAGGGCAAAAUCGUCAAUGCACUGUACUUAUGAACAGUGAUUCAGUGUGUUUUCAGUUUUAGUAUGGGCUAGAUUAAAUGUGAGAGAGGGUUUGUUUUUAGUCGGUUUGUUGGUCUGUAGUCGUCGGAAACGACGAACUCGUCGCUAGCCACAGUGGUGAGUCGUGGAGUGAACAGCUGGAAGGAAGGGCAAGAAGGGAGAAACAUAAAAGGUUAAAAAAAGUGUGCAUAUAUUCUCAGACAGUGGCAGGAGUGCAAUAACAAUAAUUAAACAAGGGCAAAAUAGUCAGUGCACUGUACAUAUGAACAGUGAUUUAGUGUGUUUUCAGUUUUAGUAUAGAUUAAAUUUGUUUUAAUUUUUUACUGAUGUUAUAUUAAUGUUCAUGUGCAAGACUAAGAGAAUGUUGCAAGGUAAUUAAAGGGUGAGGCACAAGACAAUAAAUUGGUGAUUAACUCUAUGUCGGUUACCGAAAAGAAAUGAAGAAAGGAGAAGGCAAAGAAGAAAAAAAAAGAAACGGCUAGCCAUUACCAUUUCAAUAUGGCAUUAAGGCUUAUCAAUGACCAUUAUUCAAAGGGUUAUGAGGAUUGGCAUUAACAUAUUAAUCAUGGGCUGAUGAAUGACCAUUAUUCAAGAAUAAUAUGAAGGGAGGUUGUCUGCGACAACAGCUUAUAUAAUCUCCAUUUGAUUGUUUUCAAAAAGGGCUGGCUCUUUCAUAAUUUUAGAUUUUUCUUUUUCUAUUUAAUUUAUGGAGAACUAAUCUCCCUAGCUUAGCUAGGGGGAAACCUAUAUUACAAGUAUGUAGUUUUAUUAUUUCGAUUAUAUUUCGGAGUUUUAAUACCAAUUUUACAUUGUGGAUUUUCAACGGAAUUUCUUAUUUAUUCUAUUUUCGGAUUGAUGAAUGUUGGUUAUGAUUCAUAGGUUUAAUCAUGUUUUCCUAUAGUUUUGUUUCACAUUCAUGCUUUUAGUUAAUUGAAUAAAUUGGUAGAUUGGUACGAUUUCAAUGGAAUAAUUUCUUAAUAUUUUGUUGUCGUAGGUACAAAUUAUAAUUGGGAUUAUUUCUAUAAGAAAUUGAAUGGACGUUUUGUUUUGAAUAUCUACAAUGAAAAUCACAUUUCAAGAAGUUUUAUAUGAGGAAAACUUAAUUGCUAUAUUUUCCGGUUGAGAUUACUUCUUGUUGGUAUCUCAGUUGAGUUAUAAAAAGGAAUUGAAAUAGUGAAAUUGCAUAGUUGUAUGCAGGUGGUACCCUGAUGCUUUAUUAUUUUUAAUUGUUGAACUUUUCUUCUAUAAGUUACAUCUAAUUCAAUAUUGUUCUUUGUUUCAGUCUUGAUAAUUUUGCAUUCUUUUUCAACGCUCUUUGAGGAAUACGAGACUCGGACUUUGAGUUUAUACUGUUACGCGACACUUGCACUUAGGUUUAGCAAGCAAAUUUUUGAUCUCCUCUUGCUCUCGCUUCUCUUGCACGCAUCCUUCGCACCACGUUCGUUUUCUCCAACUUCCAAAAAUACUUAGAAUUUGGAAACUUCCCUUCUAAAGGCGUGUUCAUAAUGUCACAAUCUCAUUGAGCCAUUCUUUCUUCUCUAACAUGUUGCCUUUCUUGCCUAAGUAGCUCUCUUUCUCUCUCAUUAGCUUGAAAUGCUCUCUCAACAGCUGCAGUUUUUGCCUCCUCUUUAGCCUUAUCAGCCUCAAAUUUCACAAUUUCUCGCGCCAAAGUCAAUUCACCUUGGCGAGCAAAUUCUUCCAUAUACUUUGCAUAAUCAUUCUUGGAAGCACUCCCUUUUCUCUUUAGGGGGGUGACCCCGACAAUAUUCCAUAUACUUUGCAUAAUUGUUCAGGAAAACUUCUGGACCGACAGACACAACUCUGAAUUUAGGACAAUCUUUGACAAUAUUCCAGCAUUCCCACCGGUUGAAUGAUUUGUUUUUGCUUUUGGUUUUGGCAUUAUACCAAGCUUGUGCUUGAAGUUCCUACACAAUGCGGGAGAAAAAAUAAUUAUAAUGAAAGUAGGUAACAAAUAAAUAAUACAAACAAAUAAUUAUAAUCAAAGUAGGUAACAAAUAAAUAAGAUAAACAAAUAAUUAUAAUGAAAGUAGGUAAUAAAUAAAUAAUACAAACAAAUAAUUAUAAUCAAAGUAGCUAACAAAUAAAUAAUACAAACAAAUAAUUAUAAUCAAAGUAGCUAACAAAUCAAUAAGACAAACAAAUAAUUAUAAUGAAAGUAGGUAACAAAUAAAUAAUACAAACAAAUAAUUAUAAUGAAAGUAGGUAACAAAUAAAUAAUACAAACAAAUAAUUAUAAUCAAAGUAGCUAACAAAUAAAUAAUACAAACAAAUAAUUAUAAUGAAAGUAGGUAACAAAUAAAUAAUACAAACAAAUAAUUAUAAUGAAAGUAGCUAACAAAUAAAUAAUACAAACUAAUAAUUAUAAUGAAAGUAGCUAACAAAUAAAUAAUACAAACAAAUAAUUAUAAUCAAAGUAGCUAACAAAUAUAUAAGACAAACAAAUAAUUAUAAUCAAAGAAACUAACAAAUAAAUAAUACAAAUAAAUAAUUAUAGUGUAGAUUUGGGUAUAGUACAAACAAAUAAAUAAUAUAUUGUUACAUGAUCUGCUAAAUUUUCUCCACUUUGAAGAUUACCACUAGCUUAUGCCAAGGCGUCUCUCCAUGUACUAAACGAUUUGCUAAGAAUUUCCAACGACUAGACAUUGAUUCUUUGGUUCUUUUCCCACCAUGUUUCUCAAGAAAAUUGGUAUGAAUAAGACUCCACAUUUCUCGCAACUGCAUCUCAUUACUGAAGAAAAAAUUUUGUCCUAGCUAAGAACAAGUAAGAACAUUUGAAUACAUAUGCAAACUAUUAACACAUUAAAGUAGGCAUGCAUUAAAAAACAAUUCAUAAAACCCAUGACUUUCAAAGCCUAGUAUAUGGUGAACCAAUAAACUCUUUAACAACAUUAAAGAGAAGGAAAGAUUUAGAGUUUCUUUACCCUUGAAGGUCAUCCUUGAUUACACAAGGGAUUCACCCAAGUGGAGGGCCUUCAAGUCACCUCCUUGCUUCUUGGAUCUUCCUUGUGAUUUUCCUCCUUUUAGUGCUCCUUUGCUUCUUUGAGGAUUUGAGGAUUUGUUCUCCAAAACAUCAAAAGCUUGAUGUCUCUAAGUCUCUUCACCAAGGAUGUGAUGUGAAGAUGAAAUGGAUGACUUAGGGAAGAAGAGAUUGCUAGCUAUUCCUUCCCUAGGUGGCCGGCCUCUUUUGAGAAAAAUGAGAGAAAAUGUUUCACCUCAUUUCACCAAGAAAAACCCUAAAUGAAAAUAAAGCUAUAAAGUUGAAUUUAUACUUCAUCACAUAUGAGUGGUAAACUUGUAAUUAAUCCAAGUUUAACACUUCUCACCCUAAUGGCCGGCCAUAUCAAAUUGAUUGGGCUUAUUGCCCAUUUUGUUUUAGUUGUCAUACAACUUAAACAUAAUGGGCCUUGUGGACCAAAACGCUUUUAGGCCCUGAAACCCAAAACCAACAUAUAAGCCCAAUACGAACAUUUCGUAUAAUUAAUUAACUAAUUAAUUAACCUUGACCAUUCUUCAAUUAAACCAUUUAAUUGCUUAUCCAUUUCAUUUAAUUUCUUCACCAACAUCCUUACUCGGUGUACGAUCCAUUAGGUUCCAUUUAGCGAGGUAGUGGGUGAUUGUUACUCUUAACGAUCGAUUGUGAAUUGAAACCACAUUUCAAUUCUCCCUUAAAAUUAGUGUUUGCUAAUCUUUAGGGCUUCCAUAGACCAUGAGUGACACCUAGCAGUAUAUCAUGGUUACCCAAGCUAAGUAGAAGUGGUUGGAGAACCUAUCUAGUUACAACUACAAUGCAAUACGGUCAUUCUCUAAUACAAUACUCUUAAUCACAUUGUUUAAGUGAUAGUUUGUUUCAUGUCUACUAUCCAAUGUGAUACUUAUCUAUAUGAUUCAAUUGAAUAUGAUCUGGAACAAACUUCCUUAGUCAUAUUCAUAUGCUUUGGCCAAAGACUCUCGAAUCAUAUCUUAGAGUAUUCUCCUUCCACCAUGGAAGGUUAGAGAUUCCUUGUUGUGCAUUCAUAUGCCUACAUGACUAGGUAGCUUGACCACAACAAUGCCGUGGACACUCCAAUGGAAUGCCUUUGACAUGAUCAAAGAUCAAGGACCUAACCAUUAGACAUCUAUGAUGCCUCAGGUCAAAGGACUACUUUGCAUAUUGCAACUAUCGAGUUCUUACAUGACAUGUAUGUUCGAACUCUCUUUUGAUCGUUUUUCAGUGUACUCGAUCACUCUUUCGAGCACCUAUGUGUUUUCCUUAGUGUCCAACACUAUAUGACUUGAGACUAGUCAUACUCGCGCUUGAGUCGACAUAACACAUACUAACCUUAGCGGAUUGUCAAUGCCCAAUUGGCAAUCCUAUGGCUAGGAACUUUUUAGGAAUGAUCAUAAGAGAAAGAUCUCGAUAAUCUAACUUACUUAAAUCACUUAUCUCUUAGAUCAAAUACAUUCCUUGGAUUCCCUUAUUUCUUAAACACAUGAUACAAUAAAUAGUGAUUAACAAUAAGCUUUGCCCUUCAUUAAACAUAUAAAAGUUUAAUACAAUAAGUAUUCCAAAAGCUAUUACAUCAAAUGAGUGGCUUUGUGGGCAUACUUCCAACAAUUACCUGUAAUCGGAUCAUGAGUAACUUCAACUCAGCUAGUACACAAUGCAACAUCUUCAAUAAGCGUCCAAUUCGUACCUGCAUCAGUAGUAAUUUUGUUGGCAAAAAAAUUGAAUUGAAACUUUGAGAGAAAGAUAGGAAUGUAGUUGAAAGUAGUUGAGAAAAUAUGAAAUUGUGAUGUAAGGUAGAAGAUAUUUAUAGAAAAGUAAAAUCAAUUUUUUUUUUCGGAUAUUUAUUAAUUUUUAAAUUUUUUUAAAUUUUUUUAUUCACCUAAUUAAUCUCUGCCGUUGGAUUAAAAAAUUAGAAUUCCAACACUCCAUAUUGUGCCACGUGGCACAACGAUAAGAUUUCUUAUUUUUAAACUGUUUUUUCUUUUUCUUUUUUUAAUUUAUAAAGGUGAAUAACGUGGACCAUUGAUCUCAGAUCCAACGGUCCAUGUUAAAUAAGGUUUUAAAAUUAUUAUUACCGUUGGAAAUCCAACGGUAGAAAACAAAUGAUUGUUGAGAUCCAAUGGACACCGAGGCGCCACGUGGCCUCCAACGGUCACUGACGCAACUGCGCAAGUGGGCCCCACCGACUGACACAAAACAAAAGAAAAAAAUGUGGCUGACGUCAGGGAGAUGCCAGCCUUGUGUUAAACCCACUUCGGGCUCUUGGGCUGGCAACUCUCCAUGGGCCUACUCGGACUCCCUCGCCAGCACACGCUGGACUUGAUUGCUCGGGCUCUUAGGCCUUGUUCCUUCUCCUGUCCCUCAUGCUCCAACCCACGCUGCAUCCAUAUGAGCUUCACUAGGUGAGUGCAUAAACUGACUUACCACACUAACUACAUAAGCAAUGCCAGGGCGAGUGUGAGACAAAUAAAUUAAUCUCCCCACAAGCCUCUGAUACUGUUCCUUAUGAGUAGGAACUUGAUCUGGAAAUAAGCCUAGACGAUGAUUCUGCUUAAUCGAAGUAUUGUCAGGUUUGCAAUCUAACAUACCUGUUUCAGCUAACAAAUCAAGAACAUACUUCCGUUGAGACAGAAAAAUACCAUGCUUGGAUUGUGCAACCUCGAUUCCAAGAAAAUACUUCAAUUCACCCAAUUCUUUCAUCUCAAACUCAAUAGCUAGGUACUUUUGAAUGCGUUAUAUCUCAUUCUGAUCAUCACCAGUCACUAUCAUGUCAUCAACAUAAAUAAUUAAUGCAGUUAGCUUACCAUUUUAUCGCUUUAGAAACAAAGUCUGAUCUGAAUGACUUUGGAUAUACCCAAACUUCUUCAUUGAACUUGUAAACCUCCCAAACCACGCCCUAGGAAAUUGUUUCAAACCAUACAAGGCCUUUCGUAACCUGCAUACAACACAUUUUCUAGGAAAUGUUUCAAUACCAGGUGGGAGAUCCAUAUACAUUUCCUCCUUAAGAUCACCAUGAAGGAAAACAUUCUUAACAUCAAAUUGCAAUAGAGGCCAAUCAUGGUUUGCUGCUAAGGAUAGAAGAACACGCACAAUAUUAAGUUUGGUAACAGGAGCAAAGGUCUCCUUAUAGUCUACCCCAUAGGUUUGAGUAUAACCCUUAGCAACUGAUUUGGCUUUAUAUCGGUCAAUAGAACCAUCUGCUUUGUGCUUAAUAGUAAACACUCAUCUACAUUCAACAGCUUUCUUCCCGUUUGGUAAAGGAACCAAAUCCCAAGUAGAAUUCUUUUCCAAAGCUUCCAUCUCAAUUUUGGCAUCAACCCACUUAUGGUCAGACAAAGCAUCUUGCAAUUUUGUUGGAAUUGAUACACUAGAUAGCUGACAUAUGUAAGAUGCAUAUGGUUUAGACAAACGAUGAGUAGACACAUAAUUGUUAAUAGGAUAUUUGGCUUUGGCAUGCAUAUCAGGUUCAUAUUGUACUUUAGGUUUUCCACAAUUAGCUCGUGAAGGCAACUGAUAAGUAGAAGAAUCGUCAAAAUUAACCUCAUGUAUGCCAUCAUCUUGUACUAAACUGUUAGAAGAAUCAUCACUAGACAAACCAUCAUCAGGCAACUCGUUAGACAUAUCAGCAGUAAGCAACUGAUCAUUAGAAGGUAAUUCAUCAAACAUACUAACAGGCAAUUUGCUGGGCACAUCUGAUCUGUCGUCAGUAGAAAUAGUUCCGGGAAUGACAGGUGACCAAUAACUAUCUGUAGCCGACUGAUUAAUAUCACGCAACAUAAUAGGUUAUGUUUCCAACUCUGCCUGUAACACAUCAUCCAUACCAUCUCUUCGAAUCUGCAGUUCACUCCCCAUCUCCCCCUGAAGUGAAGAGUCGGAAAAGGGCUUCACAUAAUACUAAACUUCCUCAUGGAAGGUGACAUCCAUGGUAAUAUAAGUUUUUUGAGUCGGAGGAUGAUAACAUUUAUAGCCUUUUUUAUUGUUAGCAUACUUAAUAAAGGCACACCGGAGAGCACAUGCAUCAAGUUUACUCCGCUGAUGAAAGUAGACAUGCACAUACGCAAUACACCCAAACACUCUCAGAUGAAGCUUUGAUAUAGAAACAAGAGAAACAUGUUUUUGUAGCACAUCAAACGAUGUCUGAAAAUCAAGAACCCUACUUGGAACACGAUUAAUCAAAUACACAGCAGCCAAAACAACAUGACCCCACAGAUGAUUAGGAACACAUUUAUUCAACAUCAAGGAGCGAGCAACCUCCAUUAUUUGAUGAUUCUUCCGUUCAGACACUCCAUUUUGUUAGGGGUGUAAACGGAGUAGUCAUCUGGUGAAUAAUACCAUGAUCACGAAAAAAACAUGUCAAAGUGUGAUUCACAUAUUCUCCUCCAUUAUCAGACCUGAAGACCUUAACUUUGGUUUGAAACUGAGUAGACACCAUUGUACAAAAUUCUUGAAGAAGUAACAGAGCAUCACUCUUAUUCUUCAUCAAUAACACCCAAGUUAACCGAAUACAAUCAUCAAUAAAAGUAACAAACCAACGAAAUCCAUUAGAAGUAAUUUUCGCCGGACCCCACAUAUCAAAAUGUAUCAAAUCAAAUGGCAAAAUAGCUUUAGCAUCACUUACGGGAAAGGAAGCACGAUGGCUCUUAGCCAUGACACAUGUUUCACACUUGAACUCUGAAUCACUACAAGUGAGAAACAAAGAAGGAAAUAGAUGCUUCAUAUAACUGAAUGAUGGAUGUCCCAAUCGUCGAUGCCACAACCAAAUUUGAUGUCUGUCAUCCACUUUAGCACUUAAAACUUGAAGAUUAUUUGAACCGGAAACAACAGUAUCCUCCAUACUCAAGAUGUACAAACCCCCUAUUCUUUUACCAUGACCAAUUAUCUUCUGAGUUUGAAUGUCUUGAAAAUAACAAUACGUAGGGUAGAAGUGAGCAUAACAAUAUAAUGUAUCAAGAAGUUUUCCUACGGACAAAAGAUUGCACUUAACAUCAUGAACAAGUAAAACAUGGACCAGUGAUAAGGUUGGAGUCAGAGAGAUAGUGCCUACACAUACACAGGGGAAUGUGCUCCAAUUGCACUAGUAAUAUAUGGAUCACGAACAUAGUCACAUAACUCAUCAAAUACUCUAGGGUCACUAGUCACAUGAUCAGUGGCCCCAAUAUCAAUUAUCCAUUUAUUUGUUCCACCAAGAUGCAAACAAUACUAUGAAUAUAUUGAGCAAUUGAACAAAAUCACGAACAAUAAAGGCACAAAAGAUACGCAGCGGAAUGAAAACAAUUUACUAGAACACUGUAGUAAUCACUGUUCAUGGCACUGUAGCAGAGACUAUUCAGGUACUGUAGUAAUCACUAUUCAUGGCACUGUAGAGGACCACUGUUCACAAAGCAGAGAUGCGAUGUACUGUAGCGCGACACUAUUCACUAUUCACUUUUUUUUGUUUUUUUUUUUUUCUCACAGAGGAAAUCACGAAAAAUGUGGGCACAAAAUUAAAGCACACAGGUCACUAAGAGCGAACUACUCUGAUGCCAUAUUAAACUAAACAUGGUAAAUACCAAUAUUAAACUAAACAUGAUAAAUACCAAAAAUAUAUAUGACAAUAUUUAGGAAUUUCUUAUAUAUUCAUUAAUCUCCAAAGUGGAGUAUAUAUAGGAGUUACAAGUGGUAUUACAUAUGUACUUCACCAAUGUGUGACAAUAAACUACUAUUUACACUUUAACUAAUAUAUAACUUGCAACAACUCUAACGAAUGGUUUUUGGGCUUUUUGAAGAUGGCACAGGAAUUGUCGUUUUUGCCCCUUUCUCUUUUUAGUUUUUUUUCCCGCGUGUCACUCAACUUGGAAAGACGUUUUGCGUUUUGUUGGCUGGGGUUUGCUUCCUGCUUAUGACCAUGUGUCGAUCAUCUAAUCGACCGUGCCUUUUCUCUUUUCUCUCUUAUUUUUGUUGCUUCCCGUCACUUUCACUUCACUUUAGAGCUUUGGUUUAAGACGGGUUGUGUGUCUUUCUUGGUUCGAAAUUUCCUUGGUUAGCUUUGUUUGCCGUUUAUUUCGUUUUGUUUAUGCUUUUCGUUUUCCUUUGGGCUUUUCGUAUUUCUUCUUGGUUUCUGCUGUUACAGGAGUUCGGUUUCUACGAUGGGUUUUCAAUUCCGGACAGGGAUCUUUCAAUUUGUUGAUUUUUUUUUCUUGCACUCUUGGUAGGCUGUGACUUUGUGUUUUUUGGUGGUUGUUUUUAUAGCGCUUGAACGGCUGUGUGGUCGCCAUUUGAACGGCUCUGUAGUCAUAAUUUUCAGUUCCGCCGGUUGGGUUCUUUGUCAGGUAUUAGUUUUUUGUGUGAUAUUUUUUUUUGGAACUAAAAUAGCCAUAUGAUUUUUUCUUUCAGUUAUUUGAAUUUGUUGCGUUGUCUUUUGAUUAUUUUAGGACAUUUGUUGUGUGAUUAUUUUAUUAGCAAGCAUUUCUGUUUGAUUAGAGAGAUAGAGUGUUUUUUUUUCCGGGUUUUUUUCCAGUGUUUUAUUGAAUUUAUUGUUCUUUUACAUUUUUGUUUAACGAUUUAUUUGAUUAUUUUUUUUCUAUUUCAGGUUAUAUUGUGCUUUGAUUACAUGGUUGUUUAGCCUUUUCGAGAUUUCUGUGUGCAUUAUUUGUCAAUUUACAGACCCUAAAUCUUAUUUCAACAGUUUAAAAUGGAAGAUUGAGGUCCAACUCCUCUUGAUCGAUUGCAGCCAUAUGAAAAAAUUGUAAAAAUUAAAAUACGUGUCUGCAGAAUAUGGAGACUGAGAUUUUCAUGCAUGACUGAUAAAUGUGCAGGCCUACACUAUAUAUUAGUUGAUGAAAAGGUCAGUAAUCAAUCUUUAAUAAUGUUGACUAAUAAGCUCCUAAAAACAAGUGUUAACAAUUUUUUAUUUGUUUUAAUGCACAUCGCAUGACAUUUCUACUCUCUAAGAUAAACACAAUGUGCAAUUCAUUUCUAAUGUUUGUAUUCUUUGAUUUUCUAUCACAAAAUAAGUUAUUAGUUACCAUGCUUGCUCUAUGUACUAAGAGAUUUUUUUUGGUACAUAUCCAUUCUCUUUAACCUGUUAAUUACACUAAUAAAUUGACUCUCAGUAUUCACUAUCUAUCUUAUUCUCUAAUAUUUGUGAUUUACAUUUAUUUUCAUAUUAUUCUAUCAAAUGUAUACUCUAAAUAAGAUUACAAAGGUUGUUUUAGCCUUUUCAGAUCAUUUUUUUGCAUGUUACUUGAGGUCCAAAUCCUCUUGAUCGAUUGCAGCCAUAUGAAAAAAAUGUAAAAAUUAAAUACGUGUCUGCAGAAUAUGGAGACUGAGAUUUCAUGCAUGACUAAAUGUGCAGGCCUACACUAUAUAUUAGUUGAUGAAAAGGUCAGUAAUCAAUCUUUAAUAAAUGUUUGACUAAUAAAGCUCCUAAAAACAAGUGUUAACAAUUUUUUAUUUGUUUUAAUGCACAUCGCAUGACAUUUCUACUCUCUAAGAUAAACACAAUGUGCAAUUCAUUUCUAAUGUUUGUAUUCUUUGAUUUUCUAUCACAAAAUAAGUUAUUAGUUACCAUGCUUGCUCUAUGUACUAAGAGAUUUUUUGGUACAUAUCCAUUCUCUUUAACCUGUUAAUUACACUAAUAAAUUGACUCUCAGUAUUCACUAUCUAUCUUAUUCUCUAAUAUUUGUGAUUUACAUUUAUUUUCAUAUUAUUUCAAGUAUUAAAUAUAUCAACUCUCAUGCUAAGUCUAUGUAACAUGUAAAUUAUUUUACGGGUAUCCAUUGCCUUUAAACUGUUAAUUAUAGCGAUAAUUUGGCUUUUAGUAUUUUUUGUCAUUUGCAUCUGUAUUCAUGUUAUUUCAAGUUUCAAAUUCAAUGUUAUUUACUCAUUCAUGAUGUGUUUGACAGUUUUUUUUUCUUGCCUUUCUCAUGUUUGAUUAUCAAGCAACAAGUGAUUGAAGCGUCUUCUGACGAAAUGGACUAUGAAAUAAUAGCCCAAGAAUUGAAGCAGGUGCUUACUACGAGAUUAUGAAUUUUCGCACCAACAAAAUGAGAGGCCAUUAUCAAGUAGUACCACAUGACACUCAUGUUGUGUUCACUACUAAAACAGUUUUUAACAAGUUGACAAGUGUCUUUCCGCCUAUUCCGCAUCACAAUUUUUUUGUUUUUUUUUGCAAGAUUAUAAUAGAUUGUAUCCUCAGUUGAACAAGACUAAUAUCCUAACAAGUAAUAAAUAUGUACACAUGUAUAUAUUUGUGUGUUACAAUGGAUUGGUACAUGUUUUAUGAAACAUUUUGUCCUCAUCUAAUUAUUCAGAAUAUCAAAAUAUCAGGUUAUUUCCUAUGCAUACCACACUUUUUAAUUGUUUUCUGUAUCAUUACUGUAUAUAUCAUGGAUAUCCAAACUGUAGAGCCAAGAAUAAUCGAGAAAAAUAUGGAGGUGACACAUGAAUUCUAGGGUAUAAAAAGACAAAAUUACCCUCAAGGCACAUCGAAGCUUCUACGCGCAAGCAACGGACAAUCAUGGCUCAAUCAAGGUCAAAAGUGAUCAAAAUAAGUAUUUAUUCAAAACCUAUUUCAUCCAUCCUCAUCAAAUCUCCCUCACAAGGAAACUCCCAAAUUAUUUCUCCUAAAUUAUAUUAAUUAGCUAAUUUAUUUAUUUAUCACUCAAUUAAUUUAUAAAUUAGCCAAUUAAUUGUAAAUUACACCAAAAAAAUCACUAAAUGUGGUCGGUUCCCAUCUCCCAAAGGGGCUGGCCACACCCCUAUAAAUACCACCCCAUUUUCUCCAAAAACCUAAGUUGAAUCCUCUUACAAAAAUUCUCCAAACAUUUUUCUCUUAAAAUUCUAAUUUUGGCAUCAAAGGUUAUUCGCCCAAAGCCCCCCCAAUUCAUCAUGGGCGCGUGAGGCUCUUAGCCUUGACCUAAGGUGUUAAUUGUUUUUGCAGGUGCAUUUUCGUCCAAGAACAAGAAGGAAGAAAUUUGCAUCCACAAAUUGGUGCCUUCAUUUAGAGUUUGAUGCGCACACUCGAAGAAAACUCUUGCAUUCAAAAUUUCUCAUUUGUUCAUAAAUUUUUCAUACUUUCUUAUUCCUGGAAUUUUUUUAAUUCUUUGAAUAGAGGUGAGGAAAAAAAUACAAUGACAGGAAAUUCGGAAACCACGACGAACGAAACUUCCUACGUUCAAAGAUCUGGAUCAAAUGAUGGAGGACGAGACAUAGCCCCACCACGACGAUCCAUGAGGCUCAAAGCGAUGGCAAGAGGAUUAACUUUGUCAUUACGGAGCACCACCACCAUGGUAGCCACAAGGACCACUGUGGGGGCUAGCUCCACUCCAGCAAACCCACGGUGAGCAGCGAGCAUCAAGGCAUCCACAAGCCCAGGCCAACACCACUUUGUAGCAACAAACCCAUAUGCUAGAAGUAGCCCAAGUAGCUACCCUAGUAGCGCAAGCCCAGCACGCUCCUGAGCCGAGCCCAGGCCCAACAUGCGCUCUCGCCGCAGCCUACUCCCGUGUUGUCCCAAGCAGCCCAAGUCGGUCCAAGACCAGUUCAACAGUCUCGACUUCAAAUUUUUGGGCCGACGAUUGAACUGAGGGCAUUUUCACCCUAUUUCUCUGUAGAUUUGACAUUUUCCAACUCAAAUCUCGCACUCAUAGUCAAUUACACUUCUGUUACUCAAGGAGACGCAUUUCGUCCAAGCUUUUCCAACCCAAAAGGAGAACAACACUUGUCUCGACAAGUUAUAGAGUUGACGAGCGCCUUCACACAACAGACGACCUUGGUAAAUCAACUCUUGUAGCGCAUCGAGAUGCAACGUGCCCCUGACGAGGUGUUCUGCAGUAGGACAAAGGUAGAUGAAGAACCUCUCCAGUAGUGUCCCGGCAAACAGCCAUUCGACCAGUUAUAAACCGAACGUUUUGGCAAAGUACACUCUUGACUGAGCCUCUGAGAUAGUGUAUACACUCGUCUUAACGUCCGAAGGAGCGUGCACUCUCAAUUAGGCCCACGAACGAGCAUACAUUCACGGUUGGGGUUACAUUCUAAUAAUCAACAUAAGCAAUCUUCCAAAUAAAGUGUUCAUUCAUGGCUAGGCCCGCAAGGAGCAUCAUCCACCUCACAUCAAAGUAGGCAGCACGACUGACGGAGAGAAGCAGUCACUCAAUCCGGCUCAAGUUCAACUAGUAGCUUAUGAGAAAUUCGCUUGCCUGCUAAGAAUGUACCACAUGCACCGCAACCGCGGCAUAAACGAGCUGAACACAUUAGAAGAACAGCCUAGACCAGCAGGUUAAGACCGGGGGCAACUGAGAGCUCCGCUACCCCCAAUAAAGGCAAAUUCAUAAAGAAGUAAAAAUGCUCUUGACCGAACAAUUGCACGAUUUCCAACGCAACGAGGCGCUCCGAUGAGACAUAACCAACAUAAGCGGGUCGUAUUUCAUUGACAAGAUCAAGCAGAUGGGACUAUCCCACAUAAAUUGUUGAAUACAAAGAUUACUUAUGUUUAUACAAAGGUAGCAGCUCAGUGUAAUGACGCGCUGGGGGAAAACGAGUACUAGAAAGACACACCAGCCCAACUACCAAGAACCGGGGGCAGGCCUUGUUCUCAACACUCUAGACGAUUCAAUACUGAAGUAGCACAUCACCAGCAGCCGACCAUCACGGACCUAGUGGUCCAAUUGCUGCAUACAACCUGGCCCAAGCCAAACCCAGCUCUGCGCACACAGCCAUGACUAUCUACUCCACGGCUCCCGACAACCUUAGAUCUAUCACCAUGGCUCCUAACUUUGCCUACCUAUUCUAGGGCUCUCGACAACCCUUGAUCUAUCACCAUGGCUCCUAACCGUGUCGAUCUUGCACCAUGGCUCCAGCCUUGUCGAUCUCGCCCUAUGGCUUAUAAUCGUGUCAACUAAGCCAAUGGUACUCCAAACUUCAAAGCAUCCAACGACGGAGUAGCAGACAAGGUUUUAUUAGCAGCCCCUACUAGCGAAAGACUUAGCGGUGAAGAAGCUUGCAAUCCAUUCAAAUUCUUAGCUGAUCACCAACCAAGCCUCAGAAUGGCACACGACGAAACAUAUAAUGAUGGCAUAAUAUUUGAAGAAAGUCUGGAAGUAGCUCGAUGCGUUUUCGACUUACACCCUUACGCGGGUUUCACAAGCAGUUUGAAGUCUCAAGAAGAUUGCCAAACAAGACCUAGCAGGCUGAGGAUUAUUUCAAUUUUCUAGCAGUCCAAUAUUCCUCAACUGCACUCACAACAACGACUUUCAUGCUCUCUAGUGAGAGAGGGUAAACUAAUCCCCCGACACCCAUUUAGGUCUACUCUCCAGUGUGAGGAUAAACUAAUUGCUCUUCAGUGCGAGAGGGUAAAUCAAUUCCCUAACACCCAUAUAGGUAAGCUCUCUAGUGCGAAAAGGUAAACUAAUUGCUCUCCAGAGUGAGAUGGUAAACUAAUUGCUUUCCCCAAUGCGAGAGGGUAAACUAAUUCCCCUACACCCAUCUAAGUAAACUCUCCAAUGUGAGAAGGCCACAUAGCCCAAAAGAUCGAAUGCUUGAAGAACUAGGCAACGAAUAGUCAUGGGGUCGCAACCACUUUGCACUCAACAGUUCGCUCAUCUGUCACUUCAUUUUUAACAGCUCCGAUCUUGGUAGCUCAAUCUGUGACUGCUCCAUCUAUAGUAGCUGAGAAAUCAAACUCAAGCAGUUUCCUCAUUUUUGGUAAGCAGCCCAAACCGUGGCACAUGCCAAGCCAACUCCUGGCCCUUGCCAGCUGAUAUGUCACACCACGCUGACAGAUGCCCCAUGACAGCACCACUUAAGAAGAAGCCAAGGAGAAUUAAGUUUUUCUUACAUUAGUGCAGCGCGAAAAAGACAAAGAAAUCAACGGAAGACGGUUCUUUGCACAAGCAAGCAAAGAAUAAUGCUAAAGAAGGGGGAACAAAUAUCCUCUAGUCUUCUUUUUUUCUUGGAGGGAUAAAUAAUUGCCCUCCGAAGUUGAUUUAAUCUCGUACUUAAGGUAGGCUUAAAUAGGCUUUGGAGGUGAAUUAUUUCCCUUUCCUAGAAGAAUCUAACUCCAAGUCCAAGUGAGAAUCUACAUCAAAGUUAGAAAUCUCUACACCUGUUGCCCUUUCCUGUGAGCGGCCCAGCAAGUGUGAGGGCAUUUAUGGAGCAAAAAAUAAUCGAGAAAAAUUUGGAGGCGACACGUGGAUUCUAGGGUACAAAAAGAGAAAAUUACCCUCAAGGCACACCGAAGCUUCUACGCGCAAGCAGCGGACAAUCAUGAUCCAAUCAAGGUCAAAAGUGAUCAAAAUAGGUAUUUAUUCAAAACCUAUUUCAUCCAUCCUCAUCAAAUCUCCCUCACAAGGUAACUCCCAAAUUAUUUCUCCUAAAUUAUAUUAAUUAGCUAAUUAAUUAAUUUAUCACUCAAUUAAUUUAUUAAUUAGCUAAUUAAUUGUAAAUUACACCUAAAAACCACUAAAUGUGGCCGGUUCCCAUCUCUCCCAAGGGGGCCGGCCACACCCCUAUAAAUACCACCCCAUUUUCUUCAAAAACCUAAAUUGAAUCCUCUUACAAAAAUUCUCUAAAUUCUCCAAACACUUUUCUCUCAAAAUUCUAACUUUUGCAUUGGAGGUUCUUCGGCCAAAGCCCCCUUCCAAUUUAUCGUGGGCGUGUGAGGCUCUUGGCAUUGACCUAAGGUGUUAAUUGUUUUUGCAAGUGCAUUUUCGUCCAAGAACAAGAAGGAAUAAAUUUGCAUCCACACAAACUGUUGUUUUGCUUUUUUAUUACAUAGGGCAAUCAUAUACUUUUCUUAAAAAUAAUUUAAUCUAUUUUGGAUAAAAAAUCCUAUCACAUUUUAAUCGCUUUCUCAAUAUUUUUGUUAAUUGUUUUAUUUGGCAGAAAAGAAGAAGCUAAGAUUACAUUGUUGUCAGACGUUGCACACAACUUUACUUCUUUGUAGUUCGAUUCACUGCCCCAACCAAGAAUUGCAGUUUUUACGAGCUUGAAAGUCAAGCUAUUUGUAGGUAUAUAUUUGAAUCAAAAAAUCAUUUUUUUUUCUGUUCUUUUUUUAGAUGUUUUAGUUUUGAAAUUUUGUUUUCCUUUCUUUGCUAGACAGUGUUAGAUGGUUUUAUUCAGUCUUCAACUAUUUUUGAAAAUAAGUCUGGGUGUUAUGUGCCUCUAUAACACAAAUAUUUUCAUGUGUGAAAAUAAAAAUUGAUAUGUUGUUAUGUAGUGUUUGAACAACACAGUGUUCAUACAUAUACUUUGUUGCCUCUGUUUUAAUUUUCUUCUUAAAAAAUGAGUGUAGGUUUAAGUUAGUCAUUUACAUAACUGCUUACAAUGUCAACUAAUACAUCUUUUUUCCUUAUUUCUAUUUUCGUUUCCUUUUUUAUCUUUCUUUUUUCUUAUUUUUUUCAUUUUUUGAGUGUAGACAACAUCAUCCUCAACAGUACCAGUGCAAUACUUUUCUUUGUUGAUCCAAAGACUCCAGAAUUAAAUUCAUAUAAAUCAGUGUAAGUUCAUUCAUUAUCGUACAAUCAAAAUCAUAACACACCUAGAAUUAUUAAAAGAAAAAUAGUUAUUCUUUUUUAUGCUCAUUUCACUAAUGUUAGAUCAAAAUUGUUGCAGGUUUUCUGGCUUGUCUCACCCUAUUACAACACUCCCUCCCUCUAAUUAGGCAAGAGAAACUGAAGUUUUCCAGACUGGAAAAAAGGUCACAAUUGAAGAGUUGGGCUAUUUGGAUCCGGAUUUAUAUACGGUACACAUAAUGCUUUUAUUUUAUCAUAUUAAAUCAAAACAAUCUUAUUCACUUUUUACUUUUUUUACAUAAGCUUUCUAUUUAAUGAUUAUUAACCAUCUAAACAUCUUUCUGAAUAUUUCACAAGAUGAUACAUUUUUGUGCAAGGCAUCAAUUAAGUUGUUUAACACAACAUAUGAAUGGUGAUAUGCUGCUUGCCUUACAUGUGCCAAACAAAUGUACAAGGGCCCAACGAUUAUUUAACUGAUGUGUCAAAAAGAUCCAAAUCAAAUGCUGACUCCUUGGUAAUAAGUUAAACACUAUAUUUCGGUUUUGUCAAUUGAUCAUUGUCUCAUAUCAUUCUUAAACUGAAACUUAUCCUUUAUUUUGUUUUUAAUUACAUAUUUUCAAUUAAUAGUUCAUUGAUCAUGUAACCACAUUACAACUUAAAAACUUAAUAAAAUUGGAAUGCAACUUUGCACAGCCAUCCUUUUAUUUUUCAUAUUAACAAUCAGCUAUAACAUAAAAAAAAUCUAUGAGAUUGUAGUUUUUUACUUAUUACACCAUUUAUCCUCUGUAAUUAAUGUUUUUUUUUUCUAUUUGAAUGAAGGUACAAAGUGUUCUUAGUCCUUGAAUACGAAACAAAUGAAAUCAGUGCUCUCAUUGUCGGCAAAUCAGGCGAAAAUGUCUUUGGCAUGGCAUGCAAAGAUUUGGCUUUCAAUCAAUGAUCAACAGAUCAAAAGCAAUUAACAAGUGAGUUUCUCAAACUUAUAGGCCAAAGGAAAAAUUUUCACCUCCGGUUUGGAAGCUAACAAAAUUUGUUGAAUUCAAAUGAUUUCCUCAUCUCAAAUGUUUCUGAGGACACAAUGAUCCAACCAACAACACCACAGUCUAUUAGCAGAGAAAUUGCAGUGUCUUCCACGACAAUUUCAUCGUCCACUACACUGAUUGAAAAAACUGGAGAAUCGUAGAAGAGAAAAAGAGAUUCAAUCAGGAGAGCCCUUUUUACAAAAGCUGAAAACAUGUUAUAUUCUGACAACAUUUUUUUCUCAAUCUCUAAUUAUUUUCAAUCUGACCUAAAUCUAUUUUUCCAAUCUCUUUAAUAUGUUUGGCACAGCGAGACAGAGGAAAUCUCUAAAGCAGAUGUGCACAGGAUUUUGAUCAAGUUAUGAUCAAAUUGUUGAAAAAAAACAGCUUCUCCAACUAGCGUGAAAAAAGACCCUCCUCUACAAAAGAAAAACUAGGUAACUUUGCUUCAUUCCCAUUUUUUAUGUGAUGUAAUCAUAUUUACACACACUUGAUUACAGCUCAGUUAGCAUUUACAUUUUUUUUUUACAUUCUUUUAUUUGAAGUCACUGCCAGAAGGAAAAAACAUUUGCCACUGUAGAAAACAGUCUUACCAUCUUUUGUUAAAACAACAACAGUGCUUCUCCAUAUUUUUUGCGUGUAAAUAGUUUGUUGUAACAUCAAUUCCCUUAUUUUUUGUGCACAUGAACAAUUUGAUGUUUUCAAAUCUUUCAUCUACAACUACUAAUGCUGAUCAAGACCUAGCAUAGCUACCAGGGGGAAAUAUCAGACUAAUCAUUUUUGUACAUCAAUGUCAAAAUGUUUCUUGAUGUUUUUUGUCUAAAUUGUAUAACUGUAGAUAGUGGCCUGUAAAAAAUAUUCACUACAUUUUGUAUGCAGUCUUUAUUAUCUUUAUGUUAAUGGUGUUAGUCUACAUUUCUAUACAUCUAUAUUUUUGGAACAUCUUCUAUAGUUUUAUUUUCGUUCCUGCAACAACGGGCACAAUUUCCUAAUGUUUCCUAAAAGCGGCGGAUGGAGCCCAUAACUCCUUUUAUUUCAUCCAAUUUUCAAGGAUAGUUAUUCACUGAUGUACCUUAAUUAGUUAUUCACCAUAUGUGAAUUGGAUUAGAAUUCUCUCCUCUAUUUCAUUCCCAUUCCCUCUUUUCUUCUCACACUUUUUAUUUUAUCUUUUUCUAUAAAAUAUAUUAACAUGACUUAAUAAUGACUAUUCAAUUUGGAAAAAAGGGAAGGAAAAUAAAAAGAGAUGAGAAUCUUACUCCCUGUAAAUUUGACCCACAUGCAAUGUAUGUACCCAAUAAGAGAAUUACCAUUCUAACCCCAUGGUCAAUACAUUGAGAAUUUGUGAGUACACACACGUUCACUUUCCAAAUUGAAUUGCACAUUCCCUUUUUUACCAAACAGAUUUGGAACCAAAAUUUCCGCAUAACCGUCACACUGCUCCGUGAUGUUAGUUAUCAAUUCCAUAUCAUAACAUAAUUGAAACAAUAGAGACAUAGAAGAGCAGAAGAGCGCAUGCAAAUAAAAAAACUCAGGCCCAUAAUCAUUUCUCGUUCAUAAAAUACCAACUAUAUUGUUCAAUAUCACACGUGCCGAACACUAAAGAAAUUUUGUGUAUCCCACCGGUACAUUACGUGUUAAUAUACAAAUGAGAUUUAAUAUGAUUUUUAUUUUUUGAAUACAUCGAUAUUUUUACAUUAAGAGAAAAUUCGAAUCUAAGACUUGUCACUUCUAAGUGAAAAAAAUACCACCAAACCAAAUGAAAAUGUAAUCAGAUUUGAAACCAAAGUUUCAGCAAAACCGUGACCCUGCUCCGUGAUGUUAGUUAUCAAUUCAAUAUCAAGACAGAAUUGAAAUCAUUUCUCGUUCACAAAAUACCUUGUUCAUUUAUCACAUGUGCCAAAUGCUAAAGAAUUUUUUUUGUAUACCCCUACUGGUAAGGUACAUCACGUGUUAUUAUAUGAAUGAAGAAUAUAAUUGAUAUGGCGAAGUAAACAAUAUAAAAACAAAAGAAAGCGAAAGUAAAAGGAAAGGGGGAGUGAAGGGUCACCACACCAAGUAAUCGAAAGGCGAAUAAAAGCAGCGAAUUCAGAUCAUGUGUCAAAAGAAUACAAUGGGAACCCGAUCCGGCAGCCAGGCACAACAACCAGGUCUGUAGUAAAUAAAUAAUCAACAGAAGAGUAGGCAGGACAAAAGAUUAAAAUAAUGACUGCAUAACAACAAACACCGUCCCUCCUUCCUCUCUUCUUCGUUUAAUAUAAUGCCAAUACUGCCCAUCCCAAUGCCAUGGAUCCCAUCACCUUGAGGGACCUGAUCGUCAUUGCACCACUCUGCAUUUCCAAUAUCCACAGAAUAAAAUAUUACAACAAACCCCAAGAAAUAAUCUUUUUUUAAUUUAGCAUAUUAAUAAUUUCCUGCUAUCAGGUGUUUACCACAAUGACACUAGACACUACCCCUCAUCUGCCAUCUCUCAGUAACAUUCAUUUCUAAAUUUUUUGACCUAGGGGUAAUUAAGUAAAUUAAUCACAUAUUUUACCCAACCUAACCACUACCAAUGGUGGCGCGUGAGUAGUAUGUAGAGUCGGUAUGCCGUGGGUGGCGGGACAGUCCACCGCCCAGAUCAACAGAUCUGAUGAAUGUACAAUAGGGAAAAACGUCUACUACACGCUUAAGGGAGCGCGUGAACAAACAGAAAAACAAAACGCGGCGUUUAGAGUGAUAACAAAGGAUUAGCGCGGCCUUUACAGUGACGUUAUGAAUCCAAGUAAAUUUUGAACUGAAAAUUCCAGAUCUGGGUGCGCAUUGCACCAACAGCGCAUAAUAGAUCUAAACAGAAAACAAAAGAUUGGAAACAGAGAGCAUACCUGGUCGUCAGCUGCAGUUGAAGGACUAGGAGACGAAGCAUCAGGGCUCGAUGACGGUCCCUCCGGCGCCGGUGGGCUGGCAGUAUCCGGAGUCGGAGCAGCCGCCGGAGACUUGUGCUUCGACUUCUUGCUGGGAGCCGGGGAAGGGACCUCAGUAGUAGUGGGUGCCUCAGCUGCGGGAGCAGGGGUGGCUGACGGAGGAGAUGUGGCCAGUGGUGGGGAGCUGACCGGAGCCUUAGCCGGUGGGGAGCUGACCGGAGCCUUAGCCGUUGGGGAGCUCACUGGAGAUGGCAAUGGGGGUGAGACGGUAGCGGUAGGAGGAGUGGCCGCCGGAGUUGGAGCAGCGGCGGGCUUGGGUGGAGCCGACACCGGAGUGGGAGCAGGUUUGGGGGUGGC
rnacentral:lncRNA from 1 species